GUUCCCUUCUAUCUCUCAUUCAGCGCCUCCUCGUCUUCAAACCUUUCGUUAUUCUCUUAUUCAUCCUUCUCUUCUGAAAAAUCCAGAUCUCUUUCUGCCCUUUUCUCCGUCACGCUUUUCGUGACCGGAUCUGUAUGGAUUUGAUCCAGAUCUACACGCCGAUGGUGGUUUUGGCCGGGUCUUUCAUAGAUCUGGUGCGUAGAGGCUCAGAUCUACGGUACCGAGGUACAACAGAGAAUCGAUGACAAGAACGCAGAUCCGACGGUAGAUCCAGCCGAUUCCGCUUGUUCGAUCGCUACAGACCCCUGUAUCGGAUCAUUAAGCAGCGUGUCUCGCGCGUUCUACACGUGUUGCCGAUCUCGGAUGUUGUAAAAUUAGUUUAUGAUGUGAAGCUAUGGAGUGGAAAAUAUGUGGAUGUAGGAGAUUUCGGGAUGAAUGGCCUCAAAACGCUUUGUCGUUUGUGGUUAUUGAGUCCUGAGUGAUCUUGUCAUCCGACCUUUGCCAUGACAGGUGCGCUUGCAUGGCAGGUCAAAAAAUGUUAAUAAAAAAAGUUUUAUUGGUUUGGGGAGAGAUCGCACGGGGGUUGCCCGGGGUCUCUUCCUCUUGUGUGGUGUGGUGUUUGCUGUGCUCUCCUUUUCGUUAUGCCUUUUAUUAUUACCUAUCUGUCGCUCCACUCCGUAUUACGACUCUGGAUCAGAGGAUACAUCAGAGGAUUCGCUCCAACCCCUAUCGAGUAAGGUAUUAUCUGUCAAUUUACAUUCGAAAGGGUUAGGCUAUUGAAUUUUAAAUAAUUACAGAUAAAAUCAUCGAUAGCUUUGAUUUUAAAAAUUAAUCAUAAUCAUCGGUUAGGUUGCAACAUAAUACUUAAUUCGCCUAAUUUUUUAACUGCGCCUCAGAGUAUUCAUAACAUAUUCUAUUAAAUUAAUAAGCUGGUGAUGUAAUUAAUAUUAAUAUGUAGUUUUGGCAAUCUUAUUGGCAGAAGAUGCUAGGUGGAGUUCAUCAAUAUUCUGGUAGGUAUAAUAUCUUCAUGAAUCUAAUAUAACGUUAUUCAUAGUGAAAAUAAAUCGAGCCAAGGAAUUUAUUAAUAAUUGUCUUCAUUUCAUAUUAGCUGCCUGCUGCGACUUCCUUAUGCAUAAUUUUACUGUUUAUAGAAAUUGUGAAGCUAUACUGUUGUAAUUGUCAUGUAUAUUGUUCCCUUUUUCAUCUUACUUGAUUUGGUAAACUCCGGUUACUUGUAUCCAAAUAAGAUGGGCCAUUUGUAUUGCGGGGGCUUUGUAUAAUUGUACAAUUAUCUACUUGUAAGAAGUUCAGAUUCGGGCGACAACAUUUGUAAUGCAGAAUUAGGUCAUUAACAUUGUAAAUCUUCUGGCGAUGAUUGGAAUAUCAAUGUGAAGACGCUAUAUGACUUCUGCUAUGACAAUAUCAUUGUGGUUGUCAAGGUAUUUUUGAAGAAAUAUCGUGGAUUUACAAAGAAUCUGGUUAGGCUUCUACAAUUCUUUAAGGUGAAGAUAACUUCGGCUCUUUACACAAGCAUAGAAUGAUAUUUUUUCUUGGUAUCAAGUUAUUCAGUAUGUAUGUUUGUUUGUUUUAAUUCCCUUGUGCUGCAAUUAUUUUGAUAUUUCUGCUGCGAUUAUUCAGUAUAAAUAAGUUAUUCAGCGUAUAUUCAGUUAUUUAGUACAUUGUUAUUCAGUAUACAUAAUUAUUCUUUGUAUAUAUAUAGUUAUUCUAUAGUUUACAUAGUAAUUCUGUAUAGUAUAAAUGGUUU